GAUGAACGCUGGCGGCGUGCCUAAUACAUGCAAGUCGAGCGAACAGACGAGGAGCUUGCUCCUCUGACGUUAGCGGCGGACGGGUGAGUAACACGUGGAUAACCUACCUAUAAGACUGGGAUAGCUUCGGGAAACCGGAGCUAAUACCGGAUAAUAUAUUGAACCGCAUGGUUCAAUAGUGAAAGACGGUUUUGCUGUCGCUUAUAGAUGGAUCCGCGCCGCAUUAGCUAGUUGGUAAGGUAACGGCUUACCAAGGCGACGAUGCGUAGCCGACCUGAGAGGGUGAUCGGCCACACUGGAACUGAGACACGGUCCAGACUCCUACGGGAGGCAGCAGUAGGGAAUCUUCCGCAAUGGGCGAAAGCCUGACGGAGCAACGCCGCGUGAGUGAUGAAGGUCUUCGGAUCGUAAAACUCUGUUAUUAGGGAAGAACAAAUGUGUAAGUAACUAUGCACGUCUUGACGGUACCUAAUCAGAAAGCCACGGCUAACUACGUG
rnacentral:rRNA from 1 species